rnacentral:rRNA from 1 species
GAGUUUGAUCCUGGCUCAGGAUAAACGCUGGCGGCGUGCCUUACGCAUGCAAGUCGAACGACCCCCGCGCCUUCGGGCGUGUGGGGGGAGUGGCAAACGGCUGAGUAACACGUAGGUGACCUGUCCCGAGGUGGGGAACAAUCCGUCGAAAGGCGGCCUAAUACCCCAUGAGCCCGUCGGUUCGGACCGGCGGGGAAAGCUCCGGCGCCUUGGGAGGGGCCUGCGUCCGAUUAGCUAGUUGGUGGGGUAACGGCUCACCAAGGCGACGAUCAGUAGCUGGUCUGAGAGGAUGAUCAGCCAGACUGGGACUGAGACGCGGCCCAGACUCCUACGGGAGGCAGCAGCGAGGAAUCUUGCGCAAUGGGCGAAAGCCUGACGCAGCAACGCCGCGUGGAUGACGAAGGCCUUCGGGUUGUAAAAUCCUUUUGACGGGGAAGAAGUUCUGACGGUACCCGUCGAAUAAGCCACGGCUAAUUACGUGCCAGCAGCCGCGGUAAUACGUAAGUGGCGAGCGUUAUCCGGAUUUACUGGGCGUAAAGGGUACGUAGGCGGUGCUGCAAGUCCGCUGUGAAAUCUCCCGGCUCAACCGGGAGGGGUCGGUGGAAACUGCAACACUGGAGGUGCGUCGAGGCAAGUGGAAUUCCCGGUGUAGUGGUGGAAUGCGUAGAUACCGGGAGGAACACCAGUGGCGAAAGCGGCUUGCCAGGCGCGACCCGACGCUGAGGUACGAAAGCGUGGGGAGCGAACCGGAUUAGAUACCCGGGUAGUCCACGCCGUAAACGAUGGAUGCUAGACGUGGG